UUUUUUGAUUUAACGUGUCUCAUUUCUUACUGUCGCUCUCCCUUUGCACCAAGUUUCUUGUAGCUAUAGUUAUUAUCUUGUACAUGGUGGAACUAAAACAACUUAAUAUUGACAAUAAUUUGUUGUCUAUAUAUCAUCUUAGUGUAUGAAGAAACAGCUGGGUUGACGGUCAAUGAUCCUAUUUUAUGAACACACAAGCCUCUGUCGGUGGAGUUGGGUCCUGGAAUCUUGGGGAAUAUAUUUGAUGGUAUUUAGGUUUUUGAAAUAUAUGCUUCUUCAUAUUGCUCAACUUGAAUGUUGUCUAAACAAAAACUCUCUGUAACUGGGUCUUUUAUUAUUAACCUGACUUAAGGAGGACAUUUACCCGUUGACAAUCCAUUUAUUGUUUAAAAAUAAUGCAGAGGUCUCUAACGACCAUCGCAAAGCGAUCUGGUGAUGUGUAUAUCCCUCAUUGUGUCUUUGUCCUGGCCCUUGAGGAGGACACCCUUUGGGAAUUCCAGCCUAAAAAAAUAGACUGUCUUUGAGAAUAAUUUAGUGCAGCACCAUGUUGCACUUCCUCCUGAUUCUAUGGGAAAGAUAACCUACACUGCACCAGUUGGUCAAUAUUCAUUGAAGGUAUACUUGAUAGACUGGUUAAAGUCUAUGGUUGCCAAGUAAAACUUUGAUCAUCUUGUAGAUCCUAAGAUGCUUGAGAUGAUUUCAUUGAAGGAACUUAAACGAAUCAUUUUGAUUGCUCUUAGAUGUGUUGAUCCGGAUGUCGAAAAUAGGCCUAGGAUGGGAGAU